rnacentral:lncRNA from 1 species
AGUUUUUGCAGUUAAUUAAGGAAUUAAUUGAACACCGUUAAGUUAUGGAGAAAAUCUUUCGUGAUGCAAGCACAUGCUUUUGCCCUCCAAUUCAAACACUCACCAUUGUAGGCCCCAAUGUCGUCUUUAUAGAUUUUCCAUCUUUAUGAUAUGUGCUCUUCUUAUCAGGGGGAAAAAAAAAAAAAAAAGAAAUUUUCCAGCCGCAAACAUCGCCGAAAUUUCACACUAUUAAAUCUAAAAUUCAUUCAUUUCCUGACAAGGCAUAUCUCCUGCCUCUUCAACUUGCUACUUGCAUCUAGCCAGCUAUGUUUCAACAAAAUUUACGCCUCGAAUCCGUUCCUAUUAACUACAGAACGGUAUGUUUGUACCAGUUUAAAUGUUCGGUCAUUUUAAGACGUGAGAUUUAAUUCUGAACUGCAGUUUGGUUUAAUAUCGAGUUUUUUUUUUUUUUUUGUAUUUUAAAAUGUGAAAGCAUCCGCACGGGAGAAUUAUUAGAACGGUUCAUAGCUGCUCGUCAAAAGAAGUAGCAUGCGGCGUACACGUGGCACGAGAUAGAGGGCGUCGUAUCCGUGAAAAUUGAUCCGCUGAAAGCAACGGCGUCACAUGGGAAUUUUGUUCCUCAUACGAUUCCCUUGUCUCCCGGGGAGCAUCGCGGCCGUCGAUUGUGAUUUUCAAGGGCGAGCGUGGCCGUUGAUAUUGGGUGGUGGGGGUGAUCGGCAUGUGAGAGAAAAAGAACACUCGAUUCGAACAAGACCAGUUUGAAAGGUCCUGUUAGGGAGUUUUUUUGUAGUAUAAAAUAAGAGAACACAGGCACGUUAGUUUUGAGAUAACCAGCUAGUGGAGUGAAAACUACUCGGCACUCAUCCACUUAACACGUGGUGCCCCCUUGGCCCUGCCAUGUGGCGCCCUCGUUCUCGGCCAAUGGUUUUUCUCCUUUGCACAUGCAAUUUCUCGUUAUAUCACAUCAAAUCAUCGCAAUCAAAUCCUUAUCAUUUGUAAAGAUUUUUUUUUUCCUAAUUAACUGACUAAAUUCAUGCGGUUAAUUAAGUUUAAGUCAAAUUUUGCUUAACUCUACCACGCACUUCAGUCAAAUUUUUUUGUUGUGAUGGGAUUGGUCAAGUUUAUUCCAGGCACACUUCUAUGAGGAAAUGCCACCGACACAUAAAUUCCCUGAAAGGAACUUUUACCUUCUUAUUAAAUUUUUUUUUUCCAACUUUUGCUUAAAUCAAAAUGUUAACAUAUCAC